UAGGCCUUCUUAGCCAGUCCAAGCAGAACGCUUUUUUAGUAUUUUGAAAAGCGUUCUGCUUGGACUGACUAAGGAGGCCUA